UCUCUAGUCUCUUCGGAAAGUCUGAAGACAUGUCAUAUGGAUGAUGACAUCAACAGAUGAAAAUGUUCCUCUGACAUGAUGGGCUGGCUAGGCUCAUACCAACGCUGCACCGAGCUCCCUUCCCUUCAAAAUGAGCAGCAGCAGCAGAAGCAGGAGCUCUCAUGGACCUUGUUCUAAUUCACCCUCCAGACAAGUCAAUAGUAUAAAGGCAUCCAAGGUCACCAGAACGAUCGUACACUCUUCUUCUACCCUCAUCUCCCUUCCUGCACUUCUUUAGGUUGCACUCAAAUUGGCUCUGGAUUCAGCAACUGGCAUCAGUUGGCACUACUUGAAGGUGAUCCAGUUGUUCUUGGUCAGAAGGCUCACGUGGUUGCUCUCGUGACCAGCAGGCCAUUCUUUUUCUGGGGUCUUGUGCAGUGACCGAGAAUGCAGAGCCUUUGAGUGCACCAAAGUCCUGUGAGCAGCUUUUCUUUUCUUUUCUUUUUCUUUAGUAAACUAGAUCUGGGUAUACGGCCUCUAAAGAACCCGGGACACACAGCAUCUUUGUCAUCUAGUUGCCUAAGACUUUAAGCUGGUGACUCCUCUUCCCUUCUGGAUUCUCUGAUAUCAGGAACAUUGGAGUGGAGAUUGCGGGGGUUUCAGAGGGAAGUCACUGCCUUGAAAUCAAGAGCUGUUGUUCGAACCAGGUCUCAAGACAAUGUUGGUAAGCAAUGGGGUCUUCUAUCCUAUUCUGGGGCUUGCAUCUUGUGUGGCUUUCAUAUACUUGUCCUUUGGGGACUUGGAGUUCCAGUUCCAUUUCCAUUUCAUGGAGCCCAAGAUGAGCUUUGUGGAGAGGAAGGGGGCUCAGUUCACUGUGGAUGGGAGGGCAUUCUAUGUGAAUGGUUGGAACUCCUAUUGGCUGAUGGAUCAGGCUGUGGAGGAGUACAGCAGGCCUAGGGUGAGGGCAAUGUUCCAGAAUGGGGCAAAGAUGGGGCUUACGGUUUGCAGGACUUGGGCCUUCAAUGAUGGCGCAUACAAUGCCUUGCAAGUUUCGCCAGGCCGAUUCGAUGAACGUGUCUUCAAGGCAUUAGAUCGAGUCAUUGUGGAGGCACGAAGACAUGGCAUCAGGCUACUACUAAGUUUGGCAAACAAUUUAGAAGCUUAUGGUGGCAAGACACAGUACGUUAAAUGGGCAUGGGAGGAGGGCAUUGGAUUGAGCUCCUCCAAUGAUUCCUUCUUCUACGAUCCAUCCAUUCGUAGUUAUUUCAAGACUUACCUGAAGACUAUAUUAACAAGGAAGAAUCACUUGAAUGGAAUUCAAUAUAAGGAUGAUCCUACCAUCUUUGCAUGGGAGUUGAUGAACGAACCGCGAUGUAUGUCUGAUGCAACUGGGGACACUCUCCAAGAUUGGAUUGAAGAAAUGGCAGCAUACGUGAAAGCAAUUGACAGGAAGCAUCUUUUAACAGUUGGACUCGAAGGAUUUUACGGUCCAACAUGUCCGCCCGAGAAGUUGAGUGUGAAUCCUGGACCAUGGUUCAGGACACUCGGAUCAGAUUUCAUCCGCAACUCCAAAAUCUUGGAUAUCGACUUUGCUUCAGUUCAUAUUUAUCCUGACCACUGGUUGGUGCAAGCUGGUCUUGAUGAGAAAAUGAAGUACAUCUCCAAAUGGGUGGUCUCUCACAUUGAAGAUGGAGACAGUGUACUGAAGAAACCCGUUCUGUUCACAGAAUUUGGACUCUCAAACAGGAACGAAAACUUCAAUCACUCCCACAGAGAUGUCUUCUACAAGAAUAUUUUUGACAUCAUCCAUGAGUCUGCAACUAAAAAUGGAGCUGGGGCAGGUGCCUUCGUUUGGCAAUUUAUGGUUGAAGGCAUGCAAGAAAACAACGACGAUUUCGGAAUUGUCCCAUGGGAGAGACCUUCCACGUAUCAGCUGAUUAAGGAGCAGUCAUGUCGGCUGGCGUCGCUACAUUACGCGAAGGAUUUGGCAAAGAAAAGUUUCAGGAAAAUCUGCUUAGAGUGAACAAACAAUAUCUCCCUUUCUCCUGUUUUCUGCUGAAAUCCACAGGGGGGAAGCUGAGAUUGUCGCUAGUCACUGCAUCUGCGAGUGUACGCUUGGAGUGAUCCAGUUAUUGUAUCCUGGAGGAUAUGCCGUAAUUACUUGCUACAUCGAGAUUCAUUCUCCGAGGGGCGAGAUCUAUUUUUAAGGACAAUGACAACAAGCCUCAACCUCGAUAAGUUUUCUUACCAUCUAUUCUUUUCCUAACAAGUUGCACUUGGCUAUCAUUGUCAGUAUUGAGUAUAAUGUAAGAAUACUAGAUAUUCUAUCACUGAAGUCUUCUUAUGAGCUGCAUGUAUGGAACUUUGAGUGGUGAUAUGACAGCAAAUUAAACUAGACAAAAGAAUUCAUACAGAAAUAAGGCCAAAUCCAAAUUUUACUAAAAGCAACCCAUUAAUUAUAACAGCUAAUAGAAAUUAGUAGGAAACUAGAUAAGGAAGCCAGAUACAGUGUCUUCCUCCCAGCCUUACAACAAUAACACACCAUUACAGAAGCACAUCCUUACAACAA